CAUCUGCCUUAGCCUCCUGAGUAGCUGGGACUACAGUGCAGAUCUUUUCUCGUAUUAUUCACCACUUUGGAAGACGCAGAGAUAUUGACUGGCUGCUGACCGUAGAUCUGAUAUACAAAUGAGUAUGGCUAUGCUAUUGAAGUUUCAUUCCUGAGAGAUAUCCCCUACUGAAGAUUGUAUGGGCAACAACAAAGUCAUUAAGGAAACUGGCAGAAACCGAAGACAUAGUAUGGCUUACAAGAAGAGUUCAAGGAAAAGGAACUAUUGCUUCUCUGUGCCUGAGGCUCAAGAAAGGUAAUGGAUUAGGACUAGGAGACAAAGGAGAAAAGGAGAGAAAAAUCCUUUGGCAAAAUGUUGACAUGGGUUUUUUUUUCUGCCACUAACAUGUUUUAUUACCAGAUUCCUUGCAACAUGCAUUUUUUGUUCAGCACUUGUCUAAUACAUGAUAUGCUGUGAAGGUUUUUUAAUUUCUACCCUUCAGAUACCAGGAGUGCAGAGAGCUGAUUCCAUUCCCUUUCC
rnacentral:lncRNA from 1 species